AUUGAACGCUGGCGGCAUGCCUUACACAUGCAAGUCGAACGGUAACAGGUCUUUCGGGAUGCUGACGAGUGGCGAACGGGUGAGUAAUACAUCGGAACGUGCCUAGUAGUGGGGGAUAACUACUCGAAAGAGUGGCUAAUACCGCAUGAGAUCUAUGGAUGAAAGCAGGGGACCUUCGGGCCUUGUGCUACUAGAGCGGCCGAUGGCAGAUUAGGUAGUUGGUGGGAUAAAAGCUUACCAAGCCUACGAUCUGUAGCUGGUCUGAGAGGACGAUCAGCCACACUGGGACUGAGACACGGCCCAGACUCCUACGGGAGGCAGCAGUGGGGAAUUUUGGACAAUGGGCGCAAGCCUGAUCCAGCAAUGCCGCGUGCAGGAUGAAGGCCUUCGGGUUGUAAACUGCUUUUGUACGGAACGAAAAGUCUUGGGUUAAUACCCUAGGAUCAUGACGGUACCGUAAGAAUAAGCACCGGCUAACUACGUGCCAGCCGCCGCGGUAAAAC
rnacentral:rRNA from 1 species